rnacentral:rRNA from 1 species
AGCAGCCGCGGUAAUUCCAGCUCCAAUAGUGUAUAUUGAAGUUGUUGCAGUUAAAAAGCUCGUAGUUGAAUUUCGGGAUCAAUAUGUCUGUCGUGCCUUUGGUACGUACGGGUAUAAUUGGUUUCUACCUUCUGAUGAACCUUGAUGCCAUUAAUUUGGUGUCUUGGGGACUCAGGACUGUUACCUUGAAAAAAUUAGAGUGUUUAAAGCAGGCAUACGCUUGAAUACAUUAGCAUGGAAUAAUGAAAUAGGACGUUUGAUUCUAUUUUGUUGGUUUCUAGGAUCGACGUAAUGAUUAAUAGGGAUAGUUGGGGGCAUUAGUAUUCAAUUGUCAGAGGUGAAAUUCUUGGAUUUAUUGAAGACUAACUACUGCGAAAGCAUUUGUCAAGGAUGUUUUCAUUAAUCAAGAACAAAAGUUAGGGAUCGAAGACGAUCAGAUACCGUUGUAGUCUUAACCAUAAACUAUAGACCGACUAGGGAUCGGAUGAUGUUAAUUUUUAAUGUACUCAUUCGGCGUACC